AUGCUUACUCUUUUUCCCCUCACAAUAUAUCAAGUGAGAGAGUGAAAGUUUUUUAGAGAGAGAAAUUAGAGAGAGAAAGAAAAUUAGGUUUCCGGCGCCGACGAAGAAGAAAAAGUUUGAGAGUUUGCAACUUUUAGUCCUGAAAUUUUGUAUAUAUUACGGUUUAGUCCCUCCUGUAGUUUUCUGAAAAAAAUUUGUAUGAGUUGAUGGACGAAGUUUGGGAAAAAGCGGUGGAGACGGCGUUAAACGGCGAGAGUGAUUUUGCUUCUGUGAAAACCCUAACGUUAGACGGAGCCGUUAAGUGUGUGCAUGGAAAAUUGGCUCCUCCGUCAAUUUUCGAACGAUUUGAGAACCUGGAGCAUCUAUCGAUAGCGAAUACGGGUGUUUUCUCGCUGGAAGAGUUUCCUCGUCUACGGAAUCUGCAGAAGCUGAAUUUAUCGGAUAAUAGAAUUGCUGGUGGGCUUGAGUUUAUUGUUGGUGCUGGUUUGAACUCGCUUAGGGACCUUGAUUUAUCGAAUAAUCGGAUUCAGGAGAUCGAUGAUCUUCGGCCUUUGGCUGAAUUAAGGCUUGUUUCUCUUGAUCUAUAUGAGUGUCCGGUUACGAGGGUUAAGGAUUAUCGAUCUAGGGUUUUUGGUUUGAUUAGGUCGUUGAAGUAUUUGGAUAAGAUGGAUGCUGAGGGUAAUGAGAGGCCGGAAUCGGAUGACGAGGAGGAUGAUGAAGAGGAGGAUGAUGAGGAUGAUCCAGGGAGUGGGGAAGUUGACGGUGAGGAUAGGCCGAUUAGGAGGGAGAAUGGACAUAGGGUUGAGAGUGAAGGAGUUGUUGAUGUGGAUGAGGAUGAGAGUGAUGCUGAUGAGGAGGAGACGGAGAUAACUAGAGGGAGUAAUGGGUCGAAAGGGGAGGGUUCGAGUCAUUCAAAUGGUUUUCGAGUAGGAGAGGCAGGUUCUGAUGGAGAGGAUGAUGAUGACGAGGAUGAGGAUGAGGAUGAGGAUGAUGAAGAUGAGGAUUUUGUGGAGGAGAUAGAUGAAGAGGGAGAUGAAGAUGAUGUUGUGGAGGUUCAUGAGAUAGAAGACAGUGAUGAGGACGAGGAAGAGGAUGGUGUGGAAGAUGAUGAGGAUGACGACGACGAAGAGGAUGAAGAGGAAGUUGAUAAUGAUGAUGGGGAUACGGCAGAGCCAGAAAGUACGGGGAGGUUGAAUAGCACAGAAGGUGAGAUUGAUGGACAUGAACAUGGGGAAGAUGAUUCUGAUGAGGAUGAUGAUGGGGAGACUGGAGAGGAGGAGCAAGGUGUCGAGGAGGAUGGCAAUUUCGAUGAUGAUGAGGAUGCUGAAGAUGAGGAAGAAGAUAAUGGCAAUGGCUACCUUGUUCAACCAGUUGGUCAUGUUGAAGUAGAUGAUGCUGAUGGCAGUGAUGUGGAGCCUGUAAAUGGGGAUGAAGAUCCGGAUUUGGAGGAAGAUCUUGAAGAUGAAGAGGAUGAUUAUAGUGAAGUUCAGGAGCUGCUUCCAUCCUCCUCUCAGAAGAGGAAGCGAGAUGAUGAGGAUGAUGAUGGUGGUGAGGAUGAUGAUGAAGAGCGUACAAAGUCAUCCAAGCACCGUUAGCAACUUUAUCUGUGGUGGGUUUGAUGAAAGAGAUGAUUGAACUUGAGAAGUAGAUUUGUUUUUAAGACUGGUGGUAGUUCUUUACUUUGAUAAUAACACUUGUUUUGGUGGGAAAUUCAGGUCUAGGAAGAUGGAUGGGUAUACAAAUGUUCAAAAGGUGGUUAGUAAAUAUUGGCGCUCUUGCUUUGGUUGCACUAGCCGUUGCCUAGUGAUUCAAAUGACAGUUACGAGUGAUCUUCAUGUGUUUGGAGGGGAAUUUGAAUUGGGGGAAAGCUGAAGGAAAAAUCUCGUGCUAGUUCUACAAUAGUAGUAGGUGGUGCCAGAUGUCAGCUAUUUGUGUGUCAAUCCAUUGCUCUGGUCUUCAAUCAUGUGACCGAUGAUAUGAGAUACCCACCGGCCCAAAAAAUAUCUAUUUAAUAAAGAAGAAACAAAGAGGGAAAAAAAAAAGAAAUGGUCCCAAUCCAACAAAAAAGGGAAAAGAAUUCCUCACUUAAAUAGAGCUAACAAAAUAUUUAUACCCACUUGCGUAGAGAUCGGAUUGGUGUCGUCGGGUAUUUUCGAUCGCGGUAAGGAGUAUUAAUGGGCUUCCAAGCCCAAACGUUUGGCUGGUCAAAAUGAUCCAAGAGGUCCUUCAAUGGGCUAUAAGGAAAGCAAGGUGAUUAUGGACAGAGCAGGCUAAAACUUGGGCAAACCGCGAUUAUUAAUGGGCUUCCAAGCCCAAACGUUUGGCUGGUCAAAAUGAUCCAAGAGGUCCUGCAAUGGGCUAUAAGGAAAGCAAGGUGAUUAUGGACAGAGCAGGCUAAAACUUGGGCUGGUUUGUUGUGGUUUCAUAAUGUAUCGUAUAGUAUGGUAUAGUACAAUACAAUGUUUGGAUAGACUGUAUCGUUCACUAUCGUUUAAUAGAUGGUGUGGUACUGUAUUGUAAUGGGUAAAUUUAAUAAAAUACCCUUAAUUAUUAUAAAUUUUAAAUUUAUCAAUAAUUGUUAAUAAAAUAUUUUUUUUU